rnacentral:tRNA from 2 species
GGAGGCGUAGCUCAGUUGGUUAGAGCGCUACCUUGACAUGGUAGAGGUCGAAGGUUCGAGCCCUUUCGCGUCCACCA